CCCUGGCUCAGGACGAACGCAGGCGGCGUGCCUAAUACAUGCAAGUCGAGCGGAUCUUGUCCUUCGGGACAAGAUUAGCGGCGGACGGGUGAGUAACACGUGGGUAACCUGCCUGUAAGACUGGGAUAACAUUCGGAAACGAAUGCUAAUACCGGAUACGCGAUUUGGUCGCAUGACUGAAUCGGGAAAGAUGGAGCAAUCUAUCACUUACAGAUGGACCCGCGGCGCAUUAGCUAGUUGGUGAGGUAACGGCUCACCAAGGCGACGAUGCGUAGCCGACCUGAGAGGGUGAUCGGCCACACUGGGACUGAGACACGGCCCAGACUCCUACGGGAGGCAGCAGUAGGGAAUCUUCCGCAAUGGACGAAAGUCUGACGGAGCAACGCCGCGUGAGUGAUGAAGGUUUUCGGAUCGUAAAGCUCUGUUGCCAGGGAAGAAU
rnacentral:rRNA from 1 species